rnacentral:ncRNA from 1 species
UUCCCCUAGAGGUGCUGUUCAAAACAGCUGAGAUUGAAGUGGAACUUCGGGACUCUUAUGACCUGAUCUAGUUAAUACUAGCGGAGGAAAGUGGCGAAU